UCGAUUAUUAGUAUAAAGCGUACGGUUUAAAAAAAUAAAUCAUUUAAACACAAACAAUUGUCAUCGUAUAUAAGACGUCAUUCAUACCAUCGAUUUGCAGACGUGUGUGCCUUCCACCUGUUGUAAAUAUAAAACACAAAAUGAACAUUCGGAGCCAACGAAUGCAAUUCUGUGCCAGUUUGAUGCAGAUUAGCUUCAACACAAUCAAACGACCAACAUAUUUAAACACAGAGGGAUGUUACAAUACGGUUAAAACGACCCUUUAUAGCCAACUGACCGUGCUCAUACAAUUCAACGUUUCUCAUUCAGAUUAUCUAUUUAUGCUUUGUCUUGUGCGAGUGGCCUAUAUACAAACGAAGAUGCCGCUAGCAAUCCCUCAUUAGACAUUAUAAAUUUGAUGCAUCGUCUUCUGGUAGAGCUUUAUAAGGCUGUGCUUUCCAGCGGUCCAUAAACAUAUAUUUGAAGUUCAAUAGACAGGUACGGAGAAGACUGAACGGCUUAAAAGCCACACGUUAUAAAGGCUACGGUUGUUUAUUGAAACGUAAAAACCAAAACAAUAAAUACAACAACAAACAAAGUUAAUUAUUUUACGAUUUUAUACAUACAUAUGCACUUACAAUUACCAAAAUUAACAAGAAUGUGCUGAGACUCGAGUCGUUUUGUUUGAUGUUGUUUUACAAAGGAUAUAUUUGUGUAAACAUACGUGUUAAAUUGUUAAGUUAUUUUAAUUUUUAAGUCGGUUUAACAUAAAU